rnacentral:lncRNA from 10 species
CUCUUCUCCAGGGAGAUCCGAGGGAGUUGCUAGGAAGGGGUAUGACCUGAGAUUGACAGUGGCUUCCCACCUUCUAUGCUGCUCAUUCUAUGCUGCCAGUACUGGGGCCCAAAGACUGGCUCAGUUUGCAUGUAAAUCUCCAGCUAAACUUCACCACCACCUCAACUAAUAAUGGUACCCUAAGUCACUGAGGAUGUGAUUAUAGAGACCACUGAUCCUAUGCCCUGCCGAGGAAUUCAUACAAAGAUCACACUACCACAGGCACUCAAAAUCAAACCCAAAGUAUCUUAAUCAACAACAUAUAUAUAUAUAUAUAUAUAUAUCCUCAGAGAAAAUUCUCCCCUACAAAAGCAAUUUCAAACAAUUAGAACAAGUGACUGCUACACCAGAUGUUCAGAAAUCCAAGUAAUGACACAGGAAACAUGAAACAGCAGGGAAAUAUGAUGCUACCAAAGGACCACAAUUGUCCAGCAACAGAUCCCAAUCAAAAAGAAUUCCUUGAAAUGCCAGGUAAAGAAUUGAAAAUGUUAUUCUUAAAGAAGCUCAAUGAGAUGCAAGAGAAAUCUGAAAACCAACACAAAUAAAUUAAAAAAUCAAUGUAGGCUAUAAAUAAGAAAUUUCCAAGGACACAGACAUCUUAAAAAAAAUAAAAAAGCCAAAGCCCAGGUGCAGUGGCUCAGGCCUGUAAUUCUAGCAGUCUGGGAGGCCAGUGGGAGGACUGCUUGAGCCCAGGAAUUUGAGACCAGCCUGCGCAACAUAGUGAGACCCUGUAUUUACAAAAAAUAAAAAGUCAGCUGGGGAAGGUAGCAUGUGCCUGUGGUCCCAGCUACUAGGGAGGCAGAGGUGGGAGGAUUGCAUGAGCCUGGAAGGUCAAGGCUGCAGUGAGCUGUGAUCACACCACUGCACUUCAGCUUGAGUGACAGAGUUAGACUCUGUCUCAAAAAAAAACCAAAGAAACAAAAAAAAAAGCCAACUGAGAAAUUCUGAAACUAAAAAAUUAAUUGAAGGAAAUACAAAAUACAUUAGAAAAUUUCAAUAAUAGACUAGAACAAGCAGAAGAAAGAAUCUCAGAACUUGAAGACAGGUCUUUUAAAAUAAUCCAGUCAGACAAAAAUAAGGAAAAAAGAAUAAAAAGAAUGAACAAAGGCUUUGAGAUAUGUGAGAGUACAUAAAGUGACCAAACUUAUGAAUUGUUGAUAUUACCAAGGGGGAAAAGAGAUCAAAAAGUUUAGAAAACAUAUUUGAGAAAGUAAUUGAUGAAAAUUUCCCAAGUCUGUCAAGAGAGUUAGACAUCCAUUUACAGGAGGCCCAGAAAUCUUCAGGCAAAUACAUUGCAAAAAGGAUAUCUCUAUAGCAUAUUAUAUUCAGAAUGUUUAAUAUAAAAGUGAAAUAAAGGAUUUUAAAAUUAGCAAGAGAAAAGCAUGGAGUCAUAUACAAAGGAAACCCCUCAGACUAACAGAAGACUUUUCACAGAAACCUUACAGGUUAGAAGAGAAAUGUGAUGGCAUUUUCAAAGUGCUGAAAGAAAAAAAAAAACUGUCAGCCCAGAAUUUUGUAUUCUGCCAAAAUAAAUUUUAUAAAUUAAGGAUAAAGUCCUUCCCUGACAAGCAAAUACUAAGGGAAUUUGCCACCACUAGAGCAACCCUAUAGGAAAUGUUCAAUGAGGUCUUAAAUGUGAAAAUGAAAGGUCGAUAUUCACUAUCACAAAAAAUCAUGAAAAUAUAAAACUCACAGUUCAUAUAAAACAAUUAUACAAAGGAAGAAGAGAAAGGAAUCAAAUGGCAACACCACAGAAUUUCACCAAACCACAAAGACAGAAAAAGAAAGAAACAAGGAAUUUAUAAAACAACUUGAAAACAAUCAACAAUAUGACAGGAACAAAGCCUCACAUAUCAAUACUAACCCUGAAUAUAAAUGGAUUAAAUGCUCCAUCUUAAAGAUACAGAUUGUCAGAAUGGAUAAAGAAACAUGAUCCAACUAUAUCCUGCCUACAAGAAACUUAUCCUUCCCAUAAAGACGCAAAUAGACUGAAAGUAAAGGGGUUGAAAAAGAUAUUCCAUACAAACAGAAACCAAAAGUGAGCAGGAGUAGCUACACUUAUAUCAGAUAAAAAAGACAUAUCACAUAAAACAGUAAAAAAAAAAGACAAAAAAGGUCACUAGAUAAUGACAAAGGGAACAAUUCAGCAAGAGGAUGUAAUAAUCCUAAAUACAUACACAACCAACAUUGGAGAACUCAAAUAACACAAACAAAUAAUACUGGACCUAAUGAAAGAAACAGACGACAAUACAAUAAUAGUAGGGUCUUGGUAACACCCUACUGACAGCACUAGACAGAUCAUUGAGACAGAAAAUUAACAAAGAAACACUGGACUUAAAUUGGACUUUAGGCCAAAUGGACUUAAUAGACAUUUACAGAAAUUCUACCCAACAAUGACAGAAUAUACAUUGUUUUCACCAGCACAUGGAACAUUCUCCAAGAUAGACCACAAGUUAGCCCACAAAACAAGUCUUAACACAUUAAAAAACCUGAAAUUAUAUCAAGUAUUUUCUCAGAUCACGGUAAUUUAAGGCUAGAAAUCAAUACCAAGACAAACUUUUGAAACUAUCCAAAUACAUGGAAAUUAAACAGCGUGCUCUUGAACAACCACUGGGUCAACAAAGAAAUUAAAAUUAAAAUUAAAAAAAAAUCCAAAUGAAUGAAAAUGAAAAAACAACAUACCCAAACCUAUGGGAUACAGCAAAAGCAGUGCUAAGAGGGAAGUUAAUAGCAUUGAAUACCUACCUCACAAAGGUAGAAAGAUCACAAAUUAACAACCUAACAUCAUACCCCAAGAAACUAGAAAAAGAAGAACAAAACAACCCCAAAGUUAGCAGAAGAAGAGAAAUAACAAAGAUCAUGCUGAGACUAAGGAUUCUAGUAUGAACAACAAAACAGAAAAGAAAUAACAAAAAUCAGAGCAGAACUAAAUGAAAUGGGGACCAAAAGGAUAAUACAGAAGAUUAACAAAAGAAAAAGUUGGUUCUUCAAAAAGAUAAACAAAAUUGAUAAAUCACUAGCUAAACUAACCAAGAAAAGAAGAGGGAAGAUCCAAAUAAAUACAAUCAGAACUGAAAAAGGAGACAUUACAAAUGAUAUUUCAGAAAUACAAAAGAUCAUCAGACUAUUAUGAACAACUAUACAAUCACAAACUAGAAAAUCUAGAGCAAAUGGAUAAAUUCCCGGAAGCAUGCAACCUCCUGAAAUUGAACCAGGAAUAAGUAGAACUUCUGAACAGUAGACCCCUAAUAAGUAGAGAGACUGAAUCAGUAAUACAAAAUAUCCCCCCCUAAACUGCCACCAAAAAGCCCAGGACCAUAAAUCCAAAGAUGAAUUCAUAGCUGAAUUCUAACAAGCACACAAAAAACUAGUAUUAAUCCUCCUGAAACUAUUUUAAAAAACUGAGAAGGAAGUAAUUCUCCCUUACUCAUUCUAUGAGGUCAGUAUCACCCUAAUACUAAAACCAGACAAGGACACAAUGAAAAAAGAAAACUACAGGCUAACAUCCUGAAUGGACAAUAGACAUAAAAAUUCUCAAAAAAAAUACUAGCAAAUUGAAUCCAAGAGCACAUCAAAAAGAUAAUAGACCAUGAUCAGGUUGUGAUUUAUUCCAGGAAUGAAAGGAUGCUUCAAUAUACGCAAAUCAAUAAAUGUGCAUCACAUAAACAGAAAUAAGGACAAAAACCAUAUGAUCAUCUUAACAGAUGCAGAAAAAGCAUUUGAGAAAAUUCAGCAUCCCUUCAUGAUAAAAUUUAGCAAACUAGGCAUACAAGGAACAUACCUCAAAUAAUAAAGGCUAUAUACAACAAACCCACAGCCAACAUCAUCCUUAAUGGAGAAAAGUUGAAAGGAUUCCCUCUAAGAAUUGGAACAAGACAAGAAUACCCACUUUGACCACUCUUAUUCAGUGUAGUAUUGGAAGUCCUCACCAGAGCAAUCAGCAAAGAGAAACAAAAGGCAUCCAAAUUGGAAAAGAGGAAGUCAAAUAUUUCUGCUGAUGAUAUGAUCUUAUAUCUAGAAAAUAAACACUAAAUACUUGACCAAAAAACUGUUAGACUUAAUAAAUGAAUUCAGUAAAGUUUCAGGCUACAAAAUUAAUGUUUAGAAAUUAGUAGCAUUCCUAAACACCAAUAACUAUCUAGUCAAGGACCAAAUCAAGAAGGCAAUCCCACUUACAAUAGCUAAGACAAGGACAAAAACAAAAACAAAAACAAAACCCUAGGAAUAUAUUUCACCAAGGAGGUGAAAGAUGUCUAUCAGGAGAACUACAAAACACUGAUGGAAGAAAUUGUAGACAACACAAACAAAUGGAAAAACAUCCCAUGCUCAUGGAUUUGAAGAACUAACGUUGUUAAAAUGACCAUACUGCCCAAAGCAAUCUACAGAUUCAUUGCAAUCCCUACCAAAUGACCAAUGUCAUUUGGUACAUUUUUCACAGAAUUAGAAAAAAAAUCCUAAAAUUCAUAUUCAUAAUUCAAAGAGCCCAAAUAGCCACAGCAAUCCUGAGCAAAAAGAACAAAGCUGGAGGCAUCAUAUUACCUGACUUCAAAUUAUAUUACAAGGCCAUAGUAACCAAAACAGCACAGUACUGGUAUAAAAAUAGACACAUAAAUCAAUGGUACAGAACAGAGAACCCAAAAAUAAAGCCACAUUCCUACAACUAACUGAUCUUCACCAAAGCCAAAAAUAUACACUGGGGAAAUGACACCCUAUUCAAUAAAUGGUGCUGGGAAAAUUGGAUAGCCAUAUGAUGAAGAAUGAAACUGGACUCAUACUUUUCACCAUAUACAAAAAUUAACUCACAAUGAAUUAAAGGCCCAAAUGUAAAACAUGCAAAUAUAAAAAUCCUAGAAGAAAACCUAGGAAAAACUCUUUUGGACAUUGGCCUAGGCAAAGGAUUUAUGACUAAGUCCUCAAAAGCAAAUGUAGUAAAAACAAAAUUAUAAAAAUGGGACUUAAACUAAAAAGCUUCUGCACAGCAAAAGAAACAACAGUAAACAGACAACCUGCAGGAUGGGAAAAAUACUUUUAAACUAUGCCUAAACAAAGGUUUGAUAUCCAGAAACUAUAAGGAACUUGACAAGAAAAAAAAAACCAUUAAAAAGCGGGCAAAGGAUAUGAAUAAACAUUUCUCAAAAACAGACAUACAAUUGGUCAAACAUAUGAAAAAUGCUCACCAUCACUAAUCAUCAGAAAAAUGCCAAUCAGAACCACAGUGAGAUACCAUAUCAUAUCAGCAGAAUGACCAUUAUUAAAAAGUCUAAAAACAACAGAUUUUUGGUGAGAAUGUGGAGAAAAAGGAAUGCUCAUAUGCUACUGGUGGGAAUGUAAAUUGGUACAACCUUUACGGAAAACAGUAUGGUGAUUUCUCAAAGAACUAAAAAUAGAACUACCAUUUGAUCCAGCAACACCACUACUGGGUAAACACCCAAAGAGAAAUAAAUAAUUACAUCCAAAAGACACCUGCACUUGUAUGUCUAUCACAGCACUAUUCACGAUAGCAAAGAUACGGAAUCAACCUCAAUGUCCAUCAACAGAGGAUUGGAUAAAGAAAAUGUGGUGUAUAUUCAUGGACACAAGGAGGGGAACAACACACACCAUGGCCUGUCAAGGGUUGGGAUGCAAGGGAAGGGAGAGCAUUAGGACAAAUACCUAAUGCAUCUAGGGCUUAAAACCUAGAUGAUGGGUUGAUAGGUGCAGCAAACCACCAUGGCACAUGUAUACCUACAUAACAAACCUGUACAUUCACACAUCUAUCCUGGAACUUAAAAUAAAAAAAAAUUAAAAAAAAAAAAGAAAAUGUGGAAUAUCUAUAUACAUUGAAUACUACUCAGCCAUAAAUAAGAAUGAAAUCCUGUCUUUUGCAGCAAUGUGGAUGGAACUGGAGGCCAUUAUCCUCAGUGAAAUGACUCAGAAACAGAAAGUCAAAUACUAUAUGUUCUUGCUUAUGAGUGGGAGCAUGACAAUGGGUACACAUGGACAUACCGAGUAGAAUAAUGGACACUGGAGACUACAAAAGACCCAUCAGCGUGCCGAGUCCUGGGCGAAUUUCAUUUUGCAAACCCUGUCAGAUGACUACCUUCUCUUGUUCUCCGCACCAGUGGAUCCACAGAGUGAUGGCACGAAGGGGCAUUGCACACACAUACAGAGAUUUUUCCUUCACAAUGUGUCUAUAAUGGGAUCCUUGCAAAGCGAAGGAACCCUGACUGCUGAUCAAAGGCAG